AUGCUACACAGCCCGGACACCCGAGGACCCUAUUAUCCAGGAGUCCCUCAACCAUGUCAAGGGAAUUUGCAUCCUACCCCACAAAAUGUCCAGUCAGGAAUUCAGAUGCCACCCCCAUUUAAAGGGAAUUUGCCUCCUACCUCACAAAAUGUGCAGCCAGGCAUUCAGAUGCCACCACCAUUUCAAGGGAAUUUGCCUCCUACCUCACAAAAUAUGCAAUUAGGAAUUCAGAUGCCACCACCAUAUCAAGGGAAUUCGCCUACCUCCCAAAAUGUUCAAUCAGGGAUUCAGUUGCCACCUCCAUUUCAAGGCAAUUUGCCUCCUACCUCACAAAUUGUUCAGUCCGGAAUUCAGAUGCCACCACCAUUUCAAGGGAAUCCAUUUCAACCUCUACCCAUCUUACCUACAUCUGCUCCAUCUUAUAAGUCUCCUCUGUGGUUUCAUCCUACUGCCUCUAUAGCUCCAACUGGGUUUGCUUAUUUGCAGCAACCACCCUUUCUUCCCCCACACGGUUUGACAGUUUGACAGGCCCUUCAGCAGUCUGUACAAUAUCCUGGACUCAAUGCAUCUUUGCCAGCUGGCUUUCCAAGCAUGCCCAACUUUCCUUCUUUACUGCAACCUAGUAACAAUCAAAGCCAAACUUUAGGUGCAUCUGCAUCUACAUUGUUGUCAGUUCCCGCCUCAUCAAGUGCUACAUCAAGUGCAUCUGUAGCUGAAACCCAAGUGAGCCAGCUGCCAAAUAAGCUGUCAGUUGUUUCUGCUUCUGCAUUCUCUGUGGGUUUAACACCCCCACCUAUCAACCUUUCCACAUACACAAUUGAAACUAGCACCCCCUCCCAAGGCAUGCCUUCUAUAGUGAAGAAUAAGCCAAUUAUUCUACCUGACACUAGUGUGGCUUCUCUUAGCAAUGACAAGCCUAACAACAUACCUUAUUCUAUGUCGACUUAUCAACCUUCUCAGCCACCAACUGCUAACAUUGCAUCUAGUGCAAUCGCUGUUGCAGAAUCAAUUGCGGUCACUCCUAGACAGCUUCUGCCAACUAAUUCCUUGACUUCAUCACAGACCAUGCAAACUACUGUUGUGGCUCCAUCUUAUAAGUCUCCAUCUGUGGUUUCAUCCUCUCAGGCUGCCUCUACGGCUCCAUCUGCUCCAUCUUAUAAGUCUCCUGUGGUUUCAUCCUCUCAGACUGCCUCUACAGCUCCAUCCGCACAUGCCAAUUCUUCUGCAGGUUCAUGCUCGCAUGUUGCUUCUUCUACUGUUAUAUCAUCGCACCGGCUAGAGCCUAAUAAUGAAAAGAAAGACAUGCAGACUAAACUAAAGGCUAAACAUGUGGGGUCUCCAUCUGAAAAUAAGGAGCCUCUAUUGCCAGCACCAAAGCCCAUUCUCUAGAAGCCUAUUGAAGCUUCCUCAUAUGUUCAGUACAAUAAUAGAGGCCGAGGCCAUGGUAGAGGUCGGCGAAGAGCAAAUCUACAACCACGUCACAUAGCCAAGUUUGCAGAGGACUUUGUUUCCAUGGCUAUGAAUGAGAAAUUCAACAAAGAUGAAGUAUGGGACCAUCUCGGUAAAAGCAAUGGAUAGUUUGCUGACAAUCCAAAUGAAUAUGAUGACAACAUUGUAGAAGACGAUGUGGUGUCUCCUGGAAAACCGGAGAUUACGCAUGUGUAUGUCAAAGAUGACUUUUUUGAUUCACUCUCAAACAACACAAUUGAUAAUGGAGCUAGAAAUGGAAGAAUCAAAUUCUCUAAGCAGGGAAAAAUAGACACAGAGACAUUUGGUGACUCCGCAAGGCAUCGACCUAUGGGCAUGCGGGAUGGAGGAAGGGGCGGCCCCCGUGGUGGAGGUCCUCGUGGUCGUGGUGGCUACUAUGGAAGAGGGUAUGGAUAUACAGGGAGAGGAUGUGGCUACUCUUACCCAAACCAUCAGUCUUGA
rnacentral:rRNA from 1 species